CACUCAGAAAGGCUUGUAAGAAGCUAAAUGACAUUUCAUGCCUGUAGUCACCAAAAUAUCCUGUCACAUGAGACAGCUCUGUGAUAACUUGUAGCAUCUACGGCUGGACAAAAUCCAAUGUCUAUAAAUAGCCUAUCAAAAAGAGCUGAAAACUAUACAAAAGUAGAAAUGUCUAGGAUGGAGGCAGAAUACAUACUGGAUCAUACCUGAGGGUCAUGUUAUCCUGGCACUGGUAGACUAUCUCCCACUAGGUCUAAGUUUGAUGUAUAAUAUCUAGAGGUUGAAGUUUAGGAUUAAUUUUGGAAAAUUUAGCAUUUGGUUAGCAUUCACUGUUUUGAUUUGGGACAUGUUAUGUUCAUAAAUGUAGAUGUAAACAUCUAACCCUUUUCUGAAUUUCAAUAGUUUUUUUCCCUUGGCUCCUGACUGAGACAAGUGUCAUUGCUCACUUAAGUUGUGUGUAUAUUUCAGUCACCCAUUCUGAACUUGCCACCAUCAAGUUCCUGUUCUUGUCCAAUGAGACAGGAAAGCAGGUGUUUCCAUGCUUAAUUCUUGAUGUUACUUGCUACUCUUUUUGCUUUUAUCCUCUGUCAUUUAUCUGUCUCUAAGGUAAAUAGUCCCAAUCUAUUAAAACAAUUUUUUUUUAUGAGGGCCUUUUUCUCAAACUAUGCCCCUAGACAGAUGUGGAAAUCUUCCCCAUAUCACUUUUUCUGAGGUGGGAUGUACAGUACACUGUUCCAAAGGAGAAAAUGAAUUUCUUUAUAUAGAGGUACUCUAAUGCUUGGUGUUAAUCAGGAUGUUAUUUAUUCCAUCUGUGUUCUAACAGCUUAUUUGUUUUCUGACUACAGCCUCAUGUGGAUUAGAGAGAUCACUUAGAUAUUUACAUAAAUGGCCAGUUUCUGCUUUUCAGUUGAUGUAAAUAAAUUAGAACUUGUCAGAUGUAGAAGCAGUACACAUUUUCCUCUCUAACAUGCAUUAUUUUGCAUUUUCAACAUUGAACUUAAUUCGCCAUUACACGAUCCAUUCCAUUUUAUUAGCAUUUCCUCAUCAGCACAAUCCCCUCUUGUCUUGCUUAACUGAAAUAAUUAUGACAGCUGCAAAUUUUACAAUCUCACAAUACAAUCCUCUUUCCAGAUCAAUAGCAAAUACAGCAACAAUAGGCGACUUGCUGCAGAACCCUGAAGCAGGCUGUCAUUGACCUUCUGCCAUCACAGCAACCAGUGACCCUUUCAACCAAAGAAAACACAAUCCAAGCAUUGCAGCAAUUGAGGGCAUUUCUUUGGCCUCCUGUCGGACACAUCAACAGGGUGUCAAUGUGUCAGACACAGAUUUUAACAUCAGCGCAGAGUCUCUGCCUGCAGCAUAAAUUCCUUUAUUUGAUGCAAUUCAGAACAAAGGCCUCACCCCUGUGGAUCACGCAGGAACUGUAAGGUCAAGCAGCCUCCUGACUGCCCUGGUGCUGCUGGGACCCACUUGGUGAACACAAAGCCAACCUUUUGUGUGCAGCCGAACCUGGCACGCAGGUGGCCCUGCAGGAAGGGCAACAGUGAGUAUAGGCUGGCUCUCCCUUCCACUUCACUGCUUGAGCUUAGCCCGUGAGCAAGGAGAGCAGGAGGCAGCGCUGGGAAAAUGCUGAAACGCGGAAGAGGUGGGAUCAAAAGCCACUAAAGAUCCAGUGCAGCUGCAGUGGCACAUGACUCAAUGGGACGUCAUCACUGGCUUAGAGGAAGGGAGAGACAGAGCUUGAGUAAGAGGAAAUACACUUGGUAAAUUUAACACUUCGUAGGAGAAAUCGUCUCUUCACCUCAAUUACUCACUCACUCACUCAAUUUUUACCCCCAACGCAGUAACUUCUGUAUGUAGCAUGAGACAUUUUUGUCAUCUCUAAUUCUGUAGAUUGCUCCCAUUUCUAGGAUAACCUUUGACCUUCUGCAGACCUGCUACUUCUUUGCAGCAUUCCCUUUCUACCCUCCAUACCCCAGUCUGGUUUCUGCAUUGAGCUUACCUGCUCUAUAUCUUUUUGUAUCUUCUAAUGUGGAAGUAAAAGUUCCUUGUGGGCAGAAA